ensembl:lncRNA
CAGCAAUGUGCCGCAAGGCAUCCAGCCUGCCGGAAAUUCAGAAGAAGAAGAAGAAGAAGCAGGAAGAGCUCAGCGCUGCCUCCCAGAGAAGCUAAUGUGCAGUCGGGGUGUAAGUACCUGCUUUAAACAACGAUAUAUGGCACAAUUCUUAACUUCUACCACCCAAUACCAACACAUUAUUAUCGUUACAAGUCCUCAUUUUUGCUGCAUUUAAUCAUAGGUUACUGUUUAUGUUGUUAGGUAGGAGUUCGCUGACGUUUUUUCUAGCUAGCAAACGCUCCAGGUGGUCAGUGUCUGUUUGAGCUGCUGUUGUGUCAAGUGCAUGUGUUCAUAUUAAAGCCAAGGUGCUACUGACUAGCUAACUGACUGGAUGCACAUUAACAUUAGAACUCCUAUUGUGUGUGUGUGUGUGUGUGUGUGUGUGUGUGUGUGUGUGUGUGUGUGUGUGUGUGUGUGUGUGUGUGUGUGUCUGUCUGUCUGUCUGUCUGUCUGUCUGUCUGUCUGUCUGUCUGUCUGUGUGUGUGUGUGUGUGUGUGUGUGUGUGUGUGUGUGUGUGUCUGUG